AAUAUACUCCCUCCGUUCGGAAUUACUUGUCACAAAAAUGGAUGUAUCUACAACUAAAAUACAUAUAGAUACAUUCAUUUCUUGGACAAGUAAUUCCGAACGGAGGGAGUAUGUA
rnacentral:pre_miRNA from 1 species